rnacentral:rRNA from 2 species
UUGGCUCUCGCAUCGAUGAAGAACGCAGCGAAAUGCGAUAAGUAAUGUGAAUUGCAGAAUUCAGUGAAUCAUCGAAUCUUUGAACGCACCUUGCGCUCCUUGGUAUUCCGAGGAGCAUGCCUGUUUGAGUGUCAUUAAAUUCUCAACCUUUAUCAAC